GCCAGGCAUGGUGGUGCACGCCUAUAAUCCCAGCAGCUCGGGAGGCUGAGACAGAAGGAUCGCGAGUUCAAAGCCAGCCUCAGCAAAAAAGCGAGGUGCUAAGCAGCUCAAUGAGACCCUGUCUCUU
rnacentral:SRP_RNA from 1 species